AAGGAAUGUAUAGCAAUAGCUACUUGCAUCAUUAUAAANAUGAUGCAAGAUCGACUAUGUCGAAUAAAAUUCUAGGUAGAAUUAUGAUAAUGACAUUGUCUGCCUAUGUGUCUUGACCAAAUUACGUGCCAGCAGUCGCGGUAAUACGUAGAAGACUAGUGUUAUUCAUGUUUAAUCGGUUUAAAGGGUACCUAGACGGUAAAUCAAGCUUUCAAAAAAAUAGAAUUAAAGGACUAAUUUACUAGAGUUACUUACGAGGGGGUAUUAAAGUACUGCUGGUGUAGAGAUGAAAUUCUGUCAUACCUCUUUUCAAAAGAAAAAUUACGGCACAGGUAUAGGCGAAGGCAUCCCCUUAUGUGAUAACUGACGUUGAGGGACGAAGGCUUUGUAUAGCGAACAGGAUUAGAUACCCCAGUAGUCGAAGCAGAAAAUGAUGAAUGUCAUAGAUUAGAUAUAUAAGUUUAUUCUAUAAAUGAAAGUGUAAGCAUUCCACCUCAAGAGUAAUUUGGCAACAUUGGAACUGAAAUCAUUAGACCGUUUCUGAAACCAG
rnacentral:rRNA from 1 species